CCUACGGGAGGCAGCAGUGAGGAAUAUUGGUCAAUGGACGAGAGUCUGAACCAGCCAAGUGGCGUGAAGGAUGACUGCCCUAUGGGUUGUAAACUUCUUUUAUAUGGGAAUAAAAUGUUCCACGUGUGGGAUUUUGUAUGUACCAUAUGAAUAAGGAUCGGCUAACUCCGUGCCAGCAGCCGCGGUAAUACGGAGGAUCCGAGCGUUAUCCGGAUUUAUUGGGUUUAAAGGGAGCGUAGGUGGAUUGUUAAGUCAGUUGUGAAAGUUUGCGGCUCAACCGUAAAAUUGCAGUUGAAACUGGCAGUCUUGAGUACAGUAGAGGUGGGCGGAACUCGUGGUGUAGCGGUGAAAUGCUUAGAUAUCACGAAGAACUCCGAUUGCGAAGGCAGUUCACUGGACUGCAACUGACACUGAGGCUCGAAAGUGUGGGUAUCAAACAGGAUUAGAUACCCGUGUAGUC
rnacentral:rRNA from 1 species